rnacentral:rRNA from 1 species
CCUACGGGAGGCUGUAGUGGGGAAUAUUGGACAAUGGGCGAAAGCCUGAUCCAGCCAUGCCGCGUGUGUGAAGAAGGCCUUCGGGUUGUAAAGCACUUUCAGUGGGGAAGAAAGCCUUGGGGCUAAUACCCUCGAGGAAGGACAUCACCCACAGAAGAAGCAUCGGCUAACUCCGUGCCAGCAGCCGCGGUAAUACGGAGGGUGCGAGCGUUAAUCGGAAUUACUGGGCGUAAAGCGCGCGUAGGCGGUCUGAUAAGCCGGUUGUGAAAGCCCCGGGCUCAACCUGGGAACGGCAUCCGGAACUGUCAGGCUAGAGUGCAGGAGAGGAAGGUAGAAUUCCCGGUGUAGCGGUGAAAUGCGUAGAGAUCGGGAGGAAUACCAGUGGCGAAGGCGGCCUUCUGGACUGACACUGACGCUGAGGUGCGAAAGCGUGGGUAGCAAACAGGAUUAGAUACCCGGGUAGUC